GCUCCACUUGCUAGGCUGUGGCCAUGGGAAGAUGAAGAAAUCAUCAUCCGGGCCCUCAAGUUGCUCACUGUAUCAAUGGGAAAAAGAUCCACCUCAGGAGUACAGAGCACAUGGUGAGGCAACAUAGAAUGGGCAGAGCUGAAAUGAGCAUCAAGUUUGCUGGGUGUUUGUGGAACACUUUCUUUUACUACAAUGCCGUGUAUGUUACAUAGACAGAGAAAUAUUCUAUGGAGGAAUGCAAGAAGAUUAAAUUAAAAGAAGAUACCACCAGAUGACCCAGACUAAUCUUAUCUCAGGAUAAUUUACUUCAAAGGGAAAUUGGGAAGGAAUUUCUUGUACAAAAUUUAGGAUUUGGCCAGAAGAUCCGGAAGCAUCCAAAGCCUGAGGAAUGGCCGUUUUCAAACCCAGGACCAACUUUCUUCUGAGAAUGGAAGGCAGUCAGAACAGCUCUCCAAUAUUCUUUUCAUCUUUCACAUCGUUUUUGCUAUCCAAGUCCUCAAAACAUAAAGUACGUUAUAUUUCAAUUUUAAAAUUAUAAUAGUGAACAUGUCUCUAGUCAAGGAAUCACAAAGAUGAGUCAACAAUUUUCCUCAUUUCUUCUUUUCCCGUUGUAUUUAUUAACAAAAUAAAAACAAAAAUCCCACUAGCA
rnacentral:lncRNA from 1 species